rnacentral:lncRNA from 1 species
AGAACCUCCUGGCCCUGACCGUUUCCUGUUCUGGACUCCCCAGAUGGAGACUCCAUCUAAUGGGUCUGUUACAGCCUGUCUUCCCAACGCUUACGCACUCAUCUACUGCCAAGAAGCUAGAGCCAACUGCCUCUGGGCAUACAUGUUAUACAGACCUGCCUCGCCAGACUAACAACUAGCUCUAGCCCUGACGCCCAUGACCCCGAAGCCCCCAAACUUCAGAAGGCCCCUUCUGCUGUGCCCCAGCACUCCUCAACCCUGCCCGCCCUUCCGUCUGUCGGCCUCACUUCCUGACUGGUGAGUUUCAAACCCACAACCCACACCGUACUACCUCUUACACCUCCUGCCCCCUCUAGCGUUGGCCCUUCAGCUCUGACAGCCAGCCCUGGGUAUGAUUCCUGUCAGGCGACCUUAAUAAGAGUUCUCACAGCCUCUGUGGGAGGUAGCUAAUUAAGAUGGGUGUUGGUUCUGGGAGAAUGUGGCC